GACGAACGCUGGCGGCGUGCUUAACACAUGCAAGUCGAACGGAAAGGCCCUGCUUUUGUGGGGUGCUCGAGUGGCGAACGGGUGAGUAACACGUGAGUAACCUGCCCUUGACUUUGGGAUAACUUCAGGAAACUGGGGCUAAUACCGGAUAGGAGCUCCUGCUGCAUGGUGGGGGUUGGAAAGUUUCGGCGGUUGGGGAUGGACUCGCGGCUUAUCAGCUUGUUGGUGGGGUAGUGGCUUACCAAGGCUUUGACGGGUAGCCGGCCUGAGAGGGUGACCGGCCACAUUGGGACUGAGAUACGGCCCAGACUCCUACGGGAGGCAGCAGUGGGGAAUAUUGCACAAUGGGCGGAAGCCUGAUGCAGCAACGCCGCGUGCGGGAUGACGGCCUUCGGGUUGUAAACCGCUUUCGCCUGUGACGAAGCGUGAGUGACGGUAAUGGGUAAAGAAGCACCGGCUAACUACGUGCCAGCAGCCGCGGUGAUACGUAGGGUGCGAGCGUUGUCCGGAUUUAUUGGGCGUAAAGGGCUCGUAGGUGGUUGAUCGCGUCGGAAGUGUAAUCUUGGGGCUUAACCCUGAGCGUGCUUUCGAUACGGGUUGACUUGAGGAAGGUAGGGGAGAGUGGAAUUCCUGGUGGAGCGGUGGAAUGCGCAGAUAUCAGGAGGAACACCAGUGGCGAGGGCGGUUCUCUGGGCCUUUCCUGACGCUGAGGAGCGAAAGCGUGGGGAGCGAACAGGCUUAGAUACCCUGGUAGUCCACGCUGUAAACGGUGGGUACUAGGUGUGGGGUCCAUUCCACGGGUUCCGUGCCGUAGCUAACGCUUUAAGUACCCCGCCUGGGGAGUACGGCCGCAAGGCUAAAACUCAAAGGAAUUGACGGGGCCCCGCACAAGCGGCGGAGCAUGCGGAUUAAUUCGAUGCAACGCGUAGAACCUUACCUGGGUUUGACAUGGAUCGGGAGUGCUCAGAGAUGGGUGUGCCUCUUUUGGGGUCGGUUCACAGGUGGUGCAUGGCUGUCGUCAGCUCGUGUCGUGAGAUGUUGGGUUAAGUCCCGCAACGAGCGCAACCCUUGUUCACUGUUGCCAGCACGUUAUGGUGGGGACUCAGUGGAGACCGCCGGGGUCAACUCGGAGGAAGGUGGGGAUGACGUCAAGUCAUCAUGCCCCUUAUGUCCAGGGCUUCACGCAUGCUACAAUGGCUGGUACAGAGAGUGGCGAGCCUGUGAGGGUGAGCGAAUCUCGGAAAGCCGGUCUCAGCUCGGAUUGGGGUCUGCAACUCGACCUCAUGAAGUCGGAGUCGCUAGUAAUCGCAGAUCAGCAACGCUGCGGUGAAUACGUUCCCGGGGCU
rnacentral:rRNA from 1 species